UGGCCAGCGAGCCAAACCCAAACCUUACUUAUCUUCCCUGUUUUCUUCUGUCCUACUGCUUUAGCUGCUGCCGAAGUCUCUCUGUCUCAGAGCCACCGGAGCACCGGCAUUUUUCUGGGCGCUCUGGAGACAAGGCCUGUAGCGUGAUGCAUCGCCAAGAUCUUGCAGUGAUUGAUGGCCAGUACAACCAACCAAAGCAGCCUUCUUUAGCCCGAAUUUCAAGGACAUCACCCAUCUUUUCCCACCUUGUGUGUAGGCCCUACUCAUGACUUGUUCAGUUUUGUGCUAUGUCUGAAAUCCAGACUACAAACUGGGUGUAUCCCACAGCUGCAGUCGGAUUCUUAGUCUUAUGUCAUAAAUGUAAAUAAAAAGCCGCUGAAGCCCUGA